AUUGAACGCUGGCGGCAGGCCUAACACCUGCAAGUCGAACGAGUGGCGGACGGGUGAGUAAUGUCUGGGAAACUGCCCGAUGGAGCGGGAUAACUACUGGAAACGGUAGCUAAUACCGCAUACCAUCGGAUGUGCCCAGCUGGGAUUAGCUAGUAGGUGGGGUAAUGGCUCACGUAGGCGACACUCCCUAGCUGGUCUGAGAGGGUGACCAGCCACACUGGAACUGAGACACGGUCCAGACUCCUACGGGAGGCAGCAGUGGGGAAUAUUGCACAAUGGGCGAAAGCCUGAGGCAGCAAGGCCGCGUGGAUGAAGAAGGCCUGCGGGUUGUAAAGUACUUUCAGCGAGGAGGCGUUACUCGCAGAAGAAGCACCGGCUAACUCCGUGCCAGCAGCCGCGGUAAUUC
rnacentral:rRNA from 1 species